UUUGGAUAGCGGCAAACGGGUGAGUAACACGUGAGCAAUUUACCUUUAAGAUUGGCAUAGCCUCACGAAAGUGGGGGUAAUUCCAAAUAAGACUACGUUCUGGCAUCAGAGUGUAGUAAAAGCAGGGGACCGCAAGGCCUUGCACUUAAUGAUGAGCUCGCGUCCUAUCAGCUUGUUGGUGGGGUAAUGGCCUACCAAGGCGAAGACGGGUAGCUGGUCUGAGAGGAUGGUCAGCCACAUUGGGACUGAGACACUGCCCAGACUCCUACGGGAGGCUGCAGUCGAGAAUCUUUAGCAAUGGGCGCAAGCCUGACUAUGCGACGUCGCGUGAGGGAUGAAGGCCUUCGGGUUGUAAACCUCUUUCGAUUAGGAAGAAUACUCUUGGUACUAAUAGUAUCAAGAAAUGACGUUACUAAGAGAAGAAGCCACGGCCAACUCCGUGCCAGCAGCCGCGGUAAUACGGAGGUGGCAAGCGUUACUCGGAUUCAUUGGGUGUAAAGGGCAGGUAGGUGUCCUGGCAAGUAGGAGGUGAAAUCCUUCGACUCAAUCGAAGAACUGCCUUCUAAACUGCUAGGAUUGAGUGUGAGAGAGGAAAGUGGAAUUCUCGGUGUAAGGGUGAAAUCUGUAGAUAUCGAGAGGAACACCAGUAGCGAAGGCGACUUUCUGGAUCACUACUGACACUGAGCUGCGAAAGCUAGGGGAGCAAACAGGAUUAGAUACCCUGGUAGUCCUAGCCGUAAACGAUGAGUACUUGGUGUCUUGGGUUAGACCAAGGUGCCGAAGUUAACACAUUAAGUACUCCACCUGGGGACUACGACCGCAAGGUUAAAACUCAAAGGAAUUGACGGGGGCUCACACAAGCGGUGG
rnacentral:rRNA from 1 species